rnacentral:rRNA from 1 species
GACGGAGGGUGCAAGCGUUGUUCGGAAUUACUGGGCGUAAAGGGCGCGUAGGCGGUCUGUUAAGUUCGGUGUGAAAGCCCUCGGCUUACCCGGGGAACUGCGCCGGAAACAGACAGACUCGAGUACCGGAGAGGAGGGUGGAAUUCCUGGUGUAGCGGUGAAAUGCGUAGAUAUCAGGAGGAACACCGGUGGCGGAGGCGGACCUCUGGACGGAUACUGACGCUGAGGCGCGAAAGCGUGGGGAUCAAACAGG